rnacentral:rRNA from 1 species
UUAGAGUUUGAUCCUGGCUCAGGAUGAACGCCAGCUACAGGCUUAACACAUGCAAGUCGAGGGGCAGCAUGAACUUAGCUUGCUAAGUUUGAUGGCGACCGGCGCACGGGUGAGUAACACGUAUCCAACCUUCCGUUUACUCAGGGAUAGCCUUUCGAAAGAAAGAUUAAUACCUGAUAGUAUGGUGAGAUUGCAUGAUAACACCAUUAAAGAUUUAUUGGUAAACGAUGGGGAUGCGUUCCAUUAGGUAGUAGGCGGGGUAACGGCCCACCUAGCCUGCGAUGGAUAGGGGUUCUGAGAGGAAGGUCCCCCACAUUGGAACUGAGACACGGUCCAAACUCCUACGGGAGGCAGCAGUGAGGAAUAUUGGUCAAUGGGCGAGAGCCUGAACCAGCCAAGUAGCGUGAAGGAUGAAGGUCCUACGGAUUGUAAACUUCUUUUAUACGGGAAUAAAGUUUCCUACGUGUAGGAUUUUGUAUGUACCGUAUGAAUAAGCAUCGGCUAACUCCGUGCCAGCAGCCGCGGUAAUACGGAGGAUGCGAGCGUUAUCCGGAUUUAUUGGGUUUAAAGGGAGCGCAGACGGGAGAUUAAGUCAGUUGUGAAAGUUUGCGGCUCAACCGUAAAAUUGCAGUUGAUACUGGUUUCCUUGAGUGCAGUUGAGGCAGGCGGAAUUCGUGGUGUAGCGGUGAAAUGCUUAGAUAUCACGAAGAACCCCGAUUGCGAAGGCAGCUUGCUAAACUGUAACUGACGUUCAUGCUCGAAAGUGUGGGUAUCAAACAGGAUUAGAUACCCUGGUAGUCCACACGGUAAACGAUGGAUACUCGCUGUUGGCGAUAUACUGUCAGCGGCCAAGCGAAAGCAUUAAGUAUCCCACCUGGGGAGUACGCCGGCAACGGUGAAA